CCGCCUGGCCGCCCCCUCCUCGCCGGGACCCAGCCCCUUCCGCCCAGCUCAUCUGCUCGCCUCCUCGCUCCCGCGGACCCAAGGCUCAGAGCCAGCCGGUGCCCCGGGCCCUGGUCACCGGGAAGAGCCAGAGGCCUCCGCGCGCCCCUACUCCCCGCCUGGGCCAGACACGUGCGCAGCAUAUAGCUCCGGCCACGUCGGCGCGGCGGCGGGUGUCAUCUUGCCAGAUAUGAAAAAUUAAGUGGCAACAAGCACAGUCCUUCGGACCUAAUGGGCCAAGGGGAAGAGGCACUGGCUCACUCAAGACAGCCAAGUUUGGUCAGAUUGCCGAGGUAUGGACAAUGGGAUGUGCCUGGAGGGAUCUAUACCACUUCCAAGUCUUGGCUUUAAAAGGAUGGAAGAGGCACCCUACUACUCCCUCACCCCGACUCCCUGCUUCCUACUGGUGGAAAUGCUGAGACCAGAGCAGCCAACCUGGAUUCAGUGACAGGAGCCUCAUGUUAAUGAUGGAAGAGCCACCCUUCCAACUCUUGAAUGUAUUUCCUGAUUGUUAUCUAUGAGAGAAAAAAGUUCUUUCUAGUUUAAAUAUUAUAUUUUGGAGUCUCUUUGUUAUGUCGGCUUAGCCUGUACCCUAACCAAUACAGUCCCUUUCUCUCAGGACUGUUUUUAUUUUUCCUUUUUAGCCUUAUUUUAUUACUCUUACUGGAUUAUGUCUUUUAGUAUGAUUCCUUACAUCCUUCCUAGCAAGAGGCAAAUAAUUAAAAAAAUAAAGAACUACUAAACCCCCGUUAUUGACAUUUGCCAUUUCCAUGGCUGCCAAUCAUCUUUAAAUUGUCUCUUUACAUCUGGGAAGGUUCUGUCAAAGAUAAAGCUGGACAUUAGCUAAAGCAGGGAAAACAGAUUUUAUGCAGUAACCAGUGACAGGGAAAAGCGCUGAGCUCCGUUCUGAUACAGGCAGAGGGGACUAGGUGUUUUAAAGGGAGAACGAAGGAGCCGGGAUAGGGAGACUCAAGUGAAAAAAUUACAAAGCAAUGGUCACCAUAAAUGUGAUUAGGCCUGCUGUGUCUGCUAGCUGGCGAUUAUCAAAGCUAGGAUUCUGUCCUCCCACAGAGCUUGGGAGGCAGAAGCCCCAUCCCUCCUGAUGAUUACAUUUCAAAGGAAUGAUGUUCAGGUCCUUGAGAAAGACACUCCUGAGUUGUAGGAGAUACAUAUAUAUCUCAAAGAGACAGAGAAAGGAUUCAAAACUGCAAGCCCUUCUUAAUAAAUGCUCUGAGAAAGGGAGAUCAGGGACCUGUCGUCAGGUGUUGGCUAGAACAGACAGUAAAUUCUUUUGACAGCCCUGAGCCUUUCCAGACAGGGACUCAAAAGAGCACUGAGUGUCCCAGGGAGAUGGCCUUAGGCUGCUAGAAGCCAUGUUAAAAUUUGGUUAAGUCUCUUAGUGCAGGGGUUUGAAUGGAGUGUUCACGCUGAGGGGUUUUGCAGUUCUCAGUUCCCACAUUAUGAAUCCCACCUCCUUAAUAGAGGAGUCCAAACUCACAUCUCCAGAUUCUCUUGCAGCUAGAGUGCAGGUGUUUGACCAAGUUUCUACUAUAUUCUUGGGUGGAUAAGUGAGAAACAUGAGACGGAGGCUAGGCUCAGGGAAAAUGAUCUUCAGGUAAGCAUGGUGGUGAAGAUAUUGGUAUUUGGGGGCAGUAAGGCCAAUGUCUUUGAGGGGAUGUGGCAAGACUAGGUCUGAGUAUAUAAACACUGCAAAUGGAAUUGCUUGCUGCUCCUGGAACCAACUGCCACCACCAGGCUGAAUGACUGCUGCUGGGGUGAUGCUGACGGGAACAGGAAGAAAAACAGAGAAAGAACAAAUCCCUUCUCCUUUCUCCAGCCUUUUGGUCCCCUUUAAGCAGCCUCUAUUGCCCUGUAGGCAAAAGAGAAAUGUGUACCCCCAACGAAGAAUAUACAACUAUGUACCGGGGGGCUUUGGGGAGAAAACGGAAAAAAAUAACAUCUUUAAAAAAAAAGAGAAAUGUGGUCUGCAUCCCCAGCACCUCAAGGAGAGUAUGGAAGGGUAGGUUUGAAACUGAGAAACAAUAGCAUAAUAACCAUCAUGGAUCUUAAAAAUAAGGUGUUGUAUGUUCUUAGGUGUACAUUAUUUCUUGCAAUGGGAUAACCCUUUGGUUAUUUCCUUUAUUUAUCUCUUUUCUUGUUGGCCUAUUCUCUCUUCCUAAAUGAUUUCCUCCAUGGCUUCAAUUACAGUCUCUAUGACAUUACCCCCAAAUUUCUGUUUCCAAAGCAGACUCCUUUCUGCACUGCAACCCCAUAUAUCCAACUGCUUUCUCUGUAUCUUCUCCCCUUUGUCUCCCAGGCCCCUCAAACUUAACAUGUCCAAACUCUCAGUCUUACUCUGGAGGCUGCUUCUCCUGCCAUGUUCCCUAGUUCCGUGAAUGCACCACCAUUUCCCCAUCUCAUGCUAACACCUGAGAGCUACUCUUGAUACCUCCUCUCUUCCUCAUUUUUCACAUCCAUUUAGUACCAAGUUCUGUGGGCCUACAUUCUCAAUAUCUUUGGAUGUCUUCACUUCUCUCCAUAUUGUGAUGCCUGCUCUGAUCCAAGCCACCGUCCUCUCUCACCCGAGCUGUUGAUAAGGCCUCCUAAGGAAUUCUCUGCAUCCACGUUUGCUCCCCACCAGUGCAGACUUCUCAGUGAUCUUUUUUUUUUUAAAGAUUUUAUUUUUUUCCUUUUUCUCCCCAAAGCCCCCCAGUACAUAGUUG